UACGUAGGGCGCAAGCGUUGUCCGGAAUUAUUGGGCGUAAAGAGCUCGUAGGCGGCCAGUUGCGUCCGCUGUGAAAUCCCAGGGCUUAACCCUGGGCGUGCAGUGGAUACGGGCUGGCUGGAGGCAGGCAGGGGAGAACGGAAUUCCCGGUGUAGCGGUGAAAUGCGCAGAUAUCGGGAGGAACACCGGUGGCGAAGGCGGUUCUCUGGGCCGAUACUGACGCUGAGGAGCGAAAGCGUGGGGAGCGAACAGG
rnacentral:rRNA from 1 species